rnacentral:rRNA from 1 species
CAGGUCGCCAAGAUAAAUGGGGGAGUGGAAAGGUUAGAUCAAAUCCAGCCAAGCAAUCCCGAUAUCCUCAACCUCCCCCUCUAUUGGACCAGAAGCGCACGGCCGAGACCCGCCGCAACAGCGCCAGGCACCAAACAAAAAAACCAAUCACUCCAGAAAGUUACGCAGAAAAGAGGAGGAAAAACAAACCACUCCUCGUGCGCCUGCGCUCACUCCGAGGCGAAGACGCCAGAGCAGAAAAAGAAAAAUCGCCUGACCCAAUCCAAUCCAGCGCAGCCCGGCUCCACUGUUCCCGGGAUUCUCGAGAGGCCGAGCUGCCUGGUUCUUGAUCGGCUCCAUGGUUUCUCCGACGUGUUCUUGAUCCGAGGAGCGGGAGGCGGGGUUUCUUUCUUGGAUAGGAGAGGAGGCGGUUCUUGGACAGGAGGGGAUAGGGUUGUGGGUUGGCCGGCCAUGUCGGUCUCGUCCUCCUCUAUGUGCGGCGGGGACGCCGGGAUGAAGUGCGUGGUCUGGUUCCGGAGGGACCUCAGGGUGGAGGACAACCCGGCGCUGGCGGCGGCGGCGCGCACCGCCGGGGAGGUGGUGCCGGCGUACGUGUGGUCGCCGGAGGAGGACGGCCCCUACUUCCCCGGCCGCGUGUCGCGGUGGUGGCUCAGCCAGAGCCUCAAGCACCUGGAGGCCUCGCUCCACCGCCUCGGCGCCGCCAAGCUCGUCACCCGGAGGUCGCCCGACUCCGUCGCCGCGCUGCUCCAGCUCGUCCGCGACACCGGCGCCACGCACCUCUUCUUCAACCAUCUCUACGGUUUGCUUCCUUUUCGGUUGAAAAUACGCCUCGCUUGUGUUUGCUCGUGCGCGUGUUCUCUAAACAACACAAGAAAUACUGCUCUUGUCGGCCGAGAUCUCCUUCUCUUUGUAGAUGUCGAUGAUCCAAAUCUGUGGUUUAUUAACGCUAUUUCACUUGAACUUCUUUACCUUGGCUAGAUGAAACGAAGCAGCAUCUUUUAUUUGUUAUUCUUACUUAUUUUGGGGCUUGCAUCUGAUUUGCUCAGGUUGAACCAGAUCUACUAUACUACUCACUACAGUAGUACUAUGAGGGUGCUUGGAUACAAGGGACUAUUUUUAGUCUGACUAAAAAUAGUCUCUUUUAGAGGCUAAAGUUCCAAGCACCCCUGACUAAAGAGAGGCUAGGACUAGUCUUGAGGCUAAAAUCUUUUAGUCAUGGAAAACCUACUAAAAUAUGUAUUAGCUCUCUCUCUCCUCAUUUAAUUCCUCUCCUUAGUUCUGGAUUGGAGGGUUUGGAGGAUAAUAAAUGCUCAAUAACUAGAUUUUAGUCUCUUUAGUAUUUGGAUCCAAGCAUGGGUGAGACUAGCAAGUUUUAGUCCCACUACUUUUAGUCAUGGGACUAAAACGUAUCCAAGCAUGCUCUAUGUUAUCAUGUCAUAUCACAUCCCAAUUUAUUAUGCUUUCCGUAUGGUACAACUCAUGGCAAGUCAAUUGGAGUAGCGAGUCCAAAUUUAGCAAUCUUGAGCUUACACUUUCCAUAUUAACUAGGUAUAAACUAUGAACAUUUCCAGCAACUCCGUCCUUAAUUGCCAACAGUUCUUGAUGCCACCAACCAACCAAAUCAAUCUUUUUCCUUUUGAGGGUACACCAACCUACCAAUUCAACGAGGCAGUAACCGUAUCUAGCUAUAUUCUCCAUUUAGGCACUUGCACUUUCUACUACAGUCUCAAUUAAUUGCUUGUGCUGAGACUCCUCAUCCAUUAUCUAACUCAACAAUCAGUUAAUCACUGUGUCUUGGCCAUCUUUUCAGACCCGAUCUCGCUGGUCAGGGACCACCGGCUCAAGGAGAUGCUGACGGCAGAGGGCAUCGUCGUGCAGUCUUUCAAUGCCGACCUGCUGUAUGAUCCAUGGGAGGUCAACGAUGAUAAAGGCCAACCGUUCAACAUGUUCAUGCCGUUCUGGAACAGGUGCCUCAGCAUGCCGUAUGAUCCCCCCGCGCCACUGCUGCCCCCUAAGAGAAUCAAUUCAGGUGACCUAUCGAUGUGCCCAUCAGACGAUCUGAUCUUCGAGGAUGAGUCAGAGAGGGGAAGCAAUGCGCUUCUGGCACGGGCAUGGUCACCAGGCUGGCAGAACGCAGAUAAGGCGCUCAGUGCCUUCCUGAACGGCCCUUUGAUCGACUACUCGGUGAACCGCAAGAAGGCGGACAGCGCAAACACCUCCCUCCUUUCACCUUACCUGCAUUUUGGUGAGCUGAGUGUGCGCAAGGUUUUCCACCUUGUUCGAAUGAAGCAACUCGUGUGGAGCAAUGAGGGCAACCAUGCAGCGGAGGAGAGCUGCACUCUAUUCCUCCGAUCGGUCGGCCUCCGGGAGUACUCGCGAUAUCUUUGCUUCAACCAUCCAUGCAGCCAUGAGAAGCCCCUCCUUGCACACCUCAGGUUCUUCCCUUGGGUGGUCGACGAAAGCACCUUCAAGUUUUGGCGCCAGGGACGGACUGGCUACCCUCUUGUUGAUGCUGGCAUGAGGGAGUUGUGGGCGACUGGGUGGCUGCAUGAUCGGAUACGUGUGGUGGUUUCAAGUUUUUUCGUCAAGGUCCUUCAACUACCAUGGCGAUGGGGGAUGAAGUAUUUUUGGGACACUUUACUGGAUGCUGAUCUUGAAAGUGAUGCGCUUGGUUGGCAGUACAUCUCUGGCUCUCUCCCUGAUAGCCGGGAGCUCGACCACAUUGACAACCCUCAGCUCGAAGGCUACAAGUUUGAUCCACAUGGGGAAUAUGUCCGACGGUGGCUUCCUGAACUUGCAAGGCUGCCAACAGAAUGGAUACACCACCCAUGGGAUGCGCCUGCGUCUGUGCUGCAAGCUGCAGGAGUUGAGUUAGGCUCCAACUAUCCUCUCCCCAUAGUUGAGCUAGAUACAGCGCAAGUCAGGCUGCAAGAAGCCCUGUCAGAAAUGUGGCAACUUGAGGCAGCAUCCAGGGCCGCAAUGGACACUGGAAUGGAGGAAGGCCUGGGCGACUCCUCAGAGGUGCCACCCAUCGAAUUUCCUCAAGAUUUGCAGAUGGAAGUCCACUGGGAACCAGCCCGGGUAGCACCCAAUGUGCUCACAACUGCACAGAGACGCCAGGAUCAGAUGGUGCCUACCAUGACAACUUCACUCAACAGGGUUGAAACAGAAAUUUCUGCUGAUUUGGGGAAUAGCGUGGAUAGUAGGGCAGAGGUGCCGUUCCGCAUGCAUUUUGAGCCACGGACUGAGAGGGAGGAAAUGAUUCGAAGCACGGGCAAUGCAGCUGGAACUAAUGGCAUUCACCAUCACAAUAACUUUCAGCAACCUCAGCACCGUAUGAGAAAUAUUUUUGCGCCAUCUGUUUCUGAAGCGUCAAGUAGCUGGACCGGGAGAGAUGGUGGCGUGGUCCCAGUUUGGUCACCUCCUGCAGCAUCAGGCCAUUCCGAAACUUAUGGAGCUGAUGAAGCUGAUGUUUCUAGUAGGAGUUAUUUGGAUAGGCAUCCUCAGUCACACCGGAUAAUGAACUGGCAUCAGCUAUCACAGUCAUUGACAACAGGCAGGGACGUGGAGAACUCCGUGCAGCCAAAUUUCAUCGGUUAGAGUUUUCCGGACAGAGUGGAGAUUCACAGACCUGUGAUGUAUAGUCGGAGGAGCGUGCAAGGCAGGCGUCUUCGUGGAAGCGAUAAUAGCCAUGUAAAUUUAAUCCUCUAGAACCUGCAAGGAUAUAUGCGUUAUAUAUAGCUUUGCUAGAGUUGGUCGAAAAAGGAUGUGUAUUAUUGAUCAUCAGACAAUUGAGGGUUUCCUAGUGGGGGAUGCUUAUAUUUUUUGUAGGGGGUGUGUUAUAUGUCUAUAGCUGCAAACUCCCCUGUGUGAUUGGCAAUCUUUGGUUACUCCUGGACGGUUUUGUGCAAUCAGAAUGUAUAUAUUGGCCUUACCUGCUGCUGCUAUCACUAACUGUGUUAUGU